rnacentral:rRNA from 1 species
AUUGAACGCUGGCGGCAGGCCUAACACAUGCAAGUCGAGCGAGCGGCGGACGUGUGAGUAAUGUAUGGGGACUGCACGAUAGAGCGGGAUAAACACAGGAAACGGUGGUUAAUACCGCAUACUUUCGGAUUACACAUAUGGGAUUAGGUAGUAGGUGGGGUAAAGCCUCACCUAGGCGACGAUCUCUAGCUGGUCGUAGAGGAUGAUCAGCCCCUCUGGUACUGAGACACGGCCCAGACUCCGACGGCGGCAGCAGUGGGGAAUGUUGCACUAUGGUCGCAAGCCUGAUGCAGCCAUGCCGCGUGUAUGAAGAAGGCCUUAGGGUUGUAAAGUACUUUCAGAGGGGAGGCGUUCCCCGCAGUAGAAGCACCGGCUAACUCCGUGCCAGCAGCCGCGGUAAUAC